AGAGUUUGAUCCUGGCUCAGGACGAACGCUGGCGGCGCGCCUAAUACAUGCAAGUCGAGCGAGAAGCGGGACUUCGGUCCCGUGGAAAGCGGCGAACGGGUGCGUAACACGUGAGCAACCUGCCCCGAAGACCGGGACAAGCCGGGGAAACCUGGUCUAAUACCGGAUGCCCUCACCGGAUCGCAUGGUGUGGUGAGGAAAUGGAUUCCGCUUCGGGAUGGGCUCGCGGUCUAUCAGCUUGUUGGUGGGGUAACGGCCUACCGAGGCGACGACGGAUAGCUGGUCUGAGAGGACGAUCAGCCACACUGGGACUGAGACACGGCCCAGACUCCUACGGGAGGCAGCAGUAGGGAAUCUUGCGCAAUGGGGGAAACCCUGACGCAGCGACGCCGCGUGCGGGAUGAAGGCCUUCGGGUUGUAAACCGCUUUCAGCAGGGACGAAAUUGACGGUACCUGCAGAAGAAGGCCCGGCCAACUACGUGCCAGCCGCCGCGGUAAUAC
rnacentral:rRNA from 1 species